GCCCUCGUAGCUCAGCAGAUAGAGCGAUUCCGUCCUAAGGAAGAGGUCGUAGGUGCAAUUCCUACCGGGGGCACCA
rnacentral:tRNA from 3 species